GAUCUUAUGUUUGGUCUGCCUACAUGUGGUAUGAUUUCCCUUUCACUUCUCACUUUCAUGCAUUGGAGAAGGAAAUGGCAACCCACUCCAGUGUUCUUGCCUGGGGAAUCCCAGGGACAGGGGAGCCUGGUGGGCUGCCGUCUAUGGGGUCACACAGAGUUGGACACGACUGAAGCAACACAGCAGCAGCAGCAGAUGAAGAUCAGGUGCCUCAUGACCUUCAACCAGGACUGGAAAAAGACAUAAUUUAAGGGACUGUCUCCAACCUGGAUGGAAGGACUUUUUUAUCAGGAGAAACUACACUACACCAGGAUGAGAAGACGGCGACAUCAGAGGGAGACAGCUUCCCCAAGAUGCUGGACCUGAUUCGCUUCAGCAAUAUGUGAAUGAUGAACUUCCAGAUGUUCAAGCUGGUUUUAGAAAAGGCAGAGGAACCAGAGAUCAAAUUGCCAACAUCCUCUGGAUCAUGGAAAAAGCAAGAGAGUUCCAGAAAAACAUCUAUUUCUGCUUUAUUGACUAUGCCAAAGCCUUGGACUGUGUGGAUCACAAUAAACUGUGGAAAAUUCUGAAAGAGAUGGGAAUACCAGACCGCCUGACCUGACUCUUGAGAAACCUAUAUGCAGGUCAGGAAGCAACAGUUAGAACUGGACAAGGAACAACAGACUGGUUCCAAAUAGGAAAAGGAGUACAUCAACGCUGUAUAUUGUCACCCUGCUUAUUUAAUUUAUAUGCAGAGUACAUCAUGAGAAACGCUGGACUGGAAGAAGCACAAGCUGGAAUCAAGAUUGCCAGGAGAAAUAUCAAUAACCUCAGAUAUGCAGAUGACAUCACCCUUAUGGCACAAAGUGAAGAGGAGCUAAAAGCCUCUUGAUGAAAGUAAAAGAGGAGAGUGAAAAAGUUGGCUUAAAGUUCAACAUUCAGAAAACGAAGAUCAUGGCAUCUGGUCCCGUCACUUCAUGGGAAAUAGAUGAGGAAACAGUGGAAACAGUGUCAGACUAUUUUGGGGGGCUCCAAAAUCACUGCAGAUGGUAACUGCAGCCAUGAAAUUAAAAGAUGCUUACUCCUUGGAAGGAAAGUUAUGACCAACCCAGAUAGGAUAUUAAAAAGCAGAGACAUUACUUUGCCAACAAAGGUCCAUCUAGUCAAGGCUAUGGUUUUUCCUGUGGUCAUGUAUGGAUGUGAGAGUUGGACUGUGAAGAAAGCUGAGUGCUGAAGAAUUGAAUGUUUUGAGCUGUGGUGCUGGAGAAGACUCAUGAGAGUCCCUUGGACUGCUAGGAGAUCCAACCAGUCCAUUCUAAAGGAGAUCAGCCCCGGGUGUUCUUUGGAAGGAAUGAUGCUAAAGCUGAAAUUCCAGUCCUUUGGCCACCUCAUGCAAAGAGUUGACUCAUUGGAAAAGACUUUAAUGCUGGAAGGGAUUGGGAGCAGGAGGAGAAGGGGACGACAGAGGAUGAGAUGGCUGGAUGGCAUCACCAACUCGAUGGAUAUGAGUCUGAGUGAACUCUGGGAGUUGGUGGCGGACAGGGAGGCCUGGUAUGCUGCGAUUCAUGGGGUCACAAAGAGUCGGACACGACUGAGAGGCUGAACUGAACUGAACAUGUUCACAUCCUAUUUCCUCUUCCAAACCACAAACUCCAAAGGCCCAAGAAAGUACUAUUGAUUUUUUAAACAUUUAUUUGACUGCUCCAGGUCCCAGUUUCAGCAGGUGGGAUCCUCGUUGCCUUAUGCAAGAUCCUUAGUUGAGGAUCAGGAUCCAGGUUCCAGACCAGGGAUCUAGCUGGGACCCCUGCAUUGGGAGCACCGAGUCCCAACUACUGGGCCACCAGGGAAGGCCCUGAUUUUUAUGUCUUUCAAUGUCUAACACAUUUCCUUACAUAAAUUUCCUUAAACACUACUUGUUAAGUCCUUUAAUACACCAAUGUUGAGUUUAGUCAACAACUUUGUGUGUCAAUAAAUAGCUCUCAGUUCAACCUACAAACACUGGGACUUUUGCCAGGAAUUAUGUUAAUCAUUUCUCAUAUAACUGUACUCUCAGUCCAAAGGUUGAUCUAUACAAAGAUAAACUUAAAUAAUAAUAAAUCCAAGUACAUUCCUGAUAAUGGUAUGCUUAUCUGGCAUUUUACAUAAGAACUGGUUCUUUUGUAUUCCCCGAGUCAGAGGAGGAAAGGAAACCAGACAGAUAAGGAACAAAUUCAAGGUCCCAGCAAAUGAGGGAUGAGAUUAGAUUUAGAAUUUUGCAAGGUUGAAGGAAAUGUUCUUGCUGAGCUCCCUGGUGUGCCAGCUGACGAAGGUGCUAAUUGAUAAACAAGGUGAUUUGACCAGCAUCUUGCACAUAACACUAAAGAAAGGUAUCUAGCAGGCAGACGACUGUCCCAGCAGUGCUGGACGUUCUGGGUGAGUUCUGGCCCGGCAUUCAGAGGAGCUGGGUGUUAGCUGGUCCUCACCCACUGAAAGGGCUUCAGGGGACACAUUUAGUCACCUGUCUGAGUCUCACUGCAUCUUCAGAGAAUGAUGAUAGCAGACUCAACAUCAGAUCGCUCUAAUGCUGCGAUCUGGAGCAAUCCCUUCGCUUGAUCAGAUAUUCUGAGUGACUUUGUUGCAUCUGUGAGAAGUAUGAAGGGAGACUAAAACUAACACAGUUGAAAAAAAUUAACAAAGUGGGGAACAGAAUAGGGAAGAAACAAAAUGAGCUCCACUCAUGGAGAGUCUGGAGAGCUGGGCUAUAAAAUCUGACCUUGAUACAGGAAAGGGAAGAGGGCAGAAAAUACUGGAUUUCAGACUUUUAUAAAACCUCCCUUAUCUCAUCUGAUCUUCAUACUAAGUACCCUAAGAGUUGUGUGAGACAAAGGGACAGUGAGCAGGUUCAUCUACAGGUGAAUAAAAUAUUUCAGGACCCCACCCCAACAAUAAAGUCCAUGAACAAAUCUUGACAAGCCCCCUUCUGCACCUUUAGGCUCCUGUAAUUUGUACUGGCUUGUUGCUGGUGCCGGCUUUACUCUGUGACUGCCUGGAUUCCAGAAAGAUGAAGAAUCUAAAAAUAACAAAUUAAAUAUUUGCUAGACUUAUGACUUGAAGUUGAUUGCUUCUUCCCACUACCCUGACAUGGGGACAUAAUGUGACAAAAGUGUUAUUUUUGGAAGAUAAAUCAGACAACCAUUAGUGAGAUGGAAGAGUUCUGGAAGAGAAGGGAGACAGAACUGUGACCAGGCAGGAGUUGUGGCAAUUCCUGAAGGCUAGAGAAGGCAAUAUAGAGAGAAGGAAUUGGGUCUUGGUGAUAACUGGAUUAUAGGAGAUGAAGGAAAAAUAUUCAGAUUCCACUGUUAUCUAUUGAGCAUUGAUUAUAUUUCUUAUUUUACAGUUGGGUAGGUACUUUCACAUGCCCAUUUAAUUUGCUCUUCAGAAUGACCCUGCAGAAAUAAGUUUUAUAAGAGAUAUUGAGGAAAUCACCAAGGUCCAUGGCUAGGAAAUGAUAGAAUUUGAAUCUAGAUGUCUUAACUCCAAGUUCCAUGUUCUUUUCAACACAUUAUGGAUCUAUGGGACUUCCCUGGUUGUCCAGUGGUCAGGCAUCUGCCUGCCAGUGCAGAGGACAUGGGUUCUAUCCCUGAUCCCAGAAGAUCCCACAUGCCUCAUGGCAACUAGGUCCAUGUGCCACAACUACUGAGCAAUCUGGAGGCCACGUGCCACAACUGCUGAGCCUGUGUGCUGUGACCACUGAAACCCACGCAGCCUAGAGCCCAUUCUCAGUAACAUAAGAAGCCCAUGCAUCGCAACUAGAGACAGCCCUCACAUGCACAGAAGCAAAGAUCCAGUGCAGC
ensembl:lncRNA